UACGUAGGGGGCAAGCGUUGUCCGGAAUUAUUGGGCGUAAAGCGCGCGCAGGCGGUCUUUUAAGUCUGGUGUAUAAGCUCAGGGCUCAACUCUGGGAGGCACUGGAAACUGGAAGACUGGAGUACAGGAGAGGAAAGUGGAAUUCCACGUGUAGCGGUGAAAUGCGUAGAGAUGUGGAGGAACACCAGUGGCGAAGGCGACUUUCUGGCCUGAAACUGGCGCUGAGGCGCGAAAGCGUGGGGAGCAAACA
rnacentral:rRNA from 1 species